UGACCCUUUUUAAGCCGAGGGUCACCUAGCCAACUGACGUUGUUAGUGAACCUAAUUUGUUCACACUAAAUUUAGCCAAUCACACCUAUUGUGAUUGGCUUUUUUCUU
rnacentral:sRNA from 1 species